UAGUUUAUGUUUGUGUUGGUUUUUUUUUUUUUUUCCUUUUUUUUG
rnacentral:ribozyme from 1 species